AACGUAGGUUCCGAGCGUUAUCCGGAUUUACUGGGCGUAAAGCGCGUUCAGGCGGUUUGGCAAGUCGGGCAUGAAAUCUCUCGGCUCAACCGGGAGAGGUUGUCCGAUACUGCUGGACUUGAGGGCAGUAGAGGGUGGUGGAAUUCCGGGUGUAGUGGUGAAAUGCGUAGAUAUCCGGAGGAACACCAGUGGCGAAAGCGGCCACCUGGACUGCACCUGACGCUGACACGCGAAAGCCAGGGGAGCGAACGGG
rnacentral:rRNA from 1 species